UACAGAGGUGCCGAGCGUUAGGCGGAAUCACUGGGCUUAAAGCGUGUGUAGGCGGAUGCCUAAGUACCUUGUGAAAUCCCACGGCUCAACCGUGGAACUGCUUGGUAUACUGGGUGUCUUGAGCUAUCUAGGGGCAACUGGAACAAACGGUGGAGCGGUGAAAUGCGUAGAUAUCGUUUGGAACGCCAAUGGUGAAAACAGGUUGCUGGGGAUAUGCUGACGCUGAGACACGAAAGCCAGGGGAGCAAACGGG
rnacentral:rRNA from 1 species